AAGGUGUUGGAUAUUGACAGCGUUCUCGCUCUAAUCCGCCAUCUUGGCUCCCUUAGCUAUAUCAGUGUUUCCCUCUUGAAAAAACUACAUUUUAUCGCCUUUAAAAAAGUACUAAACUACCUCAUUCCCUAUUCCAAAACCGAUUUGCAAUCACUGAACAAUUCUUUGACAUUUACUCUAUUCUUAUCGUUGGCAACUGAAAAUUAAAUUAGAAAUUUCAACAUUAAUUCGGCAAAAAAAAACAUCGGUUUAGAGUUCUCCCCAAGGAUUUGUAGUUAUUUUGGUCGGUGCUUCCUUCCGCUGCAAUUCCGUCUGUGGUUCACUGCCACUGGCCUUGCUUUUUCAACGAUAUAACUGUUUUCUUGUGAUUUUUGCUGCUGCAAUCCCGUCUGUGGUUCACUGCCUCUGGCCCUGCUUUUCCAACGAUAUAACUGUUUUUUUGGUAACUUCUACCGCUAAGACUUUGUUGCUUUUUCCCUUUUCCCUAAAAACAUAAUAGUGCUACAAAGCUCAAUAACAAUAUGGAAACAAAUGUUAAUAAGCCACAAUAAUAUUGACAAUAAAUAAGAUUUCACUACGA